rnacentral:antisense_RNA from 1 species
CUCGUCGAAAGUCUUCCAUUCUUCAAACUAGAUUAUUUAAAAAUGAAAAAGGAAGAAAGGAAAGCGAGGUCAUCUCAUUGCUCUAUCCGCCAAUCAGGAGGCUGAAUGUCAGUUUUGAACUAAAAGCCGCUCCGCUCCUCUUCUAGAUUUGGAAAACAAGCGAAAUUAAACUAAACCGCUGCACGCCUCUGAUGCGACAUCUGGACACUGCGUGGCGCUGGCGCUGCCGGAGCUGCGGGCCCGGCCUGGCGCCGGACUAGUCUCCCUUUUGAUGAGAAGAGUAAGUCUCAUUCUGAUUCAACAGCAGAGAUCAAAGAAAAGACUUCUGUUUUCUGGCCACCAGAUAUAUGUUAUCUGUGCUUAAAGAACUGAAAAACACACAUCAAAGGAGAAUUCUCUUGGAAAGAGAGGGUUCAAGCAUUAUUGUUAGGUGUGCUGGAAUCCUUUCCCGAGUCAGUACUGCUUUCUAGAACAGAACCAGGGAGAUCUAUUUGGAAUGUAUCUAACUCCAAAGAAACCAUCAGAGGUAAUAGUAUCUCACAGACAGCAAGUUGAACAUUGUGGGAUGCAUAAGCUAUUGAGGCCUUUGAAGCUUUCUGCUACAUGGAGGCUAGGGCCAGAGUCAAGAUUUAUGCUUUGCAGCACACUGGUCAGCUGUUUUUGCAAAUCAGAUUAAAUGAUUUUUAAAUGAGGCUGAGAGCAUGGGAGAUACUAAUGUGUGUUUCCUUGUGAGCUACUGCAUAAGUUAGGAAAUUGAAAUACAGAAAGAUGAAAAGUGAUUCGCCCAAGCAUAUAGAUCAAAGCUGUGGCAGA